UUUUUACUUGCUUUUUUAUUUUUCUGAACAGGUUUGGCCCAACAUCUCAACCACCCACCGUAGUUCAUUCUUUCUCUUCACUCUUACAUAUGGUCCUGCUUUCCUCCAUACCCUGCUCAACAAUUACAAUUGCAUCUCUUUAGAGGCUGGUGUCAGGACUAGGUCACUUUUUCUUUUAAUGCAUGGCGUGUUAUCAUGGGUCAUCACCUGCAAGGUUGGAACCUGUAAACUGGCCGCCUGGACCUCUGCCUCAUGAGCCAACUGUAACUGUUAGCAAUAGUUUGGAAAUCUCAGGUGUGUGUCUAUAAGGCGUGACUUGCUGAUUUUAGGUAGUCAAAGACACCUAAGUCUGAGCAGAGAGGAUGUGAAUUGCCACAGAAGCAGGAUGGGUGCAUUUUGUUCUGCAAAAGUGUGAGUGUUUCCACAAGGUGCAGGAUGAGAGAACUGGGCCCACUGCUUUACACUUUUCCAAGGGUAUCAGAUGGCCAAAAAGGGUGAAACUAUAGCCUGUUUUUGCUCUCUGAUCAAGCUGUAUCAGUCCCAAAUGAGGAAAGAACUAAAACAGCUAUUUAAAGCAAGAAAUGGAGUUAAAUAUGAAUUAGGCGCAUGUUUAAGUGCUGUUCUGCAUCUAGCCUGUUGACUCAAAGAUGUUUACAUUUUUGAGUGAAAUAAAACAAAAAAUUGGUUUAAAAUGA